GGGGAAAAAUUAAUAAAUAAUAAUUAAUAAUAAAAGAAUUUUUAAAAUUUAAUUUAAAAAUAUUUAAUGGGGGUUAAAGUAUUUUUAAAGAAAAAAUUUAAAAUUUUAUAGUUAAAUAGUAUUGUAAAAGAAUUUUGAAAUAAAAAUGAAAUAUUUAAUUAAUAUUAAAGUAAUUUUAGUUUGGUGUAUCUUGUGUAUCAGAGUUUAUUAAAUAAUUUUUUUUUAUUUAAAUAAUUCCCCAAUUUAAAAAAAUUAAUUAAUUAAUAAAUUUUUUGGUGAAAAAAUAUUUUAAAAAAUUAAUUUAAAAUGAAAUGGUAAACCUUUUUAAAUAAAUCCAGUUUUUUUAAAAAAAAAUUUAAUUUUUAAUUUAAAAUUAAAAAAAAUUUAAAAAAGGGGGGAUUAAAUUUUUAAUAAAAUUUAUAAAUUUAAUAAUUUAAGGGAUAAACCUUAAAUUAAAUUUUUAUAAUAAAUUUUUAAUUUUAAAUAUUUUGAAAUUUUUAUAAUUUAAAUUGGUAAUAAAUUUUAAAUUUUUAUAAAUAAUUUCCUUAAAAUUUUUAAUAAAAUUUUAAAAAAAAUUUUAUUUUUUAUAAAAAAAAUUUUUUUUAUUUAUAUUAAAUAUAAUAUAAAGAUAAAAUUUGUAUUUUAUAUUAUAUUUAUAAUAAUUUAAGUAAGAAAAAUGUAAAAUUAAUUAAAAGGGGUUCGGCAAAAUUUUAUUCUCACUUGUUUAUCACAAACAUGUCUUUUUGUUAAUAAUUUAAAGUUUUCUCCCCCCCCUGUUUUUAAAAAAUAAAGGGCCGCAGUAAUUUGUCUGCACAAAGGUAGCAGACUCUUUUGUCUUUUAGUUGGUGGCUUGUAUGAGAGGGUGGAAGAAAUAUAAUCUCUCUUUUAAAUAUAAAAUAAAAUUUUUUUUUUUUAUUAAAAAAUAAAAAUAAAUUUAAAGGGCGGGCCCCCCCUAUAGAGUUUUUUUUUUUUUUAAAUAUUAUUUUUUUUUAGAUUUAUAUAUAUAUAUAUAUAUAUAUAUAAUUAAUAUUAUAAUUUAAUAAAAUAUUUUAUUGGGGUGAUAAAAAAAUUAAAUAAACUUUUUUUAAAUUAUUUAAAACAAUAAUAAUUGAAUAAAAGAUCCAAAAUUUUUGAUUGAAAGAUAUAAUUACCUUAGGGAUAACAGCGUAAUUUUUUUUUUUAGUUCAUAUAAAAAAAAGAGUUUGCGACCUCGAUGUUGGAUUAAGAUAAAAUUUAAAUGCAAAAGUUUAAAAUUUUGAUCUGUUCGAUCAUUAAAAUCUUACAUGAUCUGAGUUCAAACCGGUGUGAGCCAGGUUGGUUUCUAUCUUUAUAAAAAUAAAAUAUUUUAGUACGAAAGGAUCAAAUAUUUAAAAUAAUUUUUAUUAAUUUAUUGAAUAUUAUUAAAUUUAAAUAUUAAAAAUUUUUAUUUAAUGAUUAUAUAUAUAUAUAUAUAUUAC
rnacentral:rRNA from 1 species